UGAAAGACGUGGUAGCCUGCGAAAAGCUUCGGGGAGUCGGCAAACAGACUGUGAUCCGGAGAUGUCUGAAUGGGGGAACCCAGCCAUCAUAAGAUGGUUAUCUUGUACUGAAUACAUAGGUGCAAGAAGCGAACCAGGGGAACUGAAACAUCUAAGUACCCUGAGGAAAAGAAAUCAACCGAGAUUCCCUUAGUAGUGGCGAGCGAACGGGGACUAGCCCUUAAGCUUCUUUGAUUUUAGCGGAACGCUCUGGAA
rnacentral:rRNA from 1 species